rnacentral:rRNA from 1 species
CUACGGAGGACGCGAGCGUUAUCCGGAUUCAUUGGGUUUAAAGGGUGCGCAGGCGGCCGUGCAAGUCAGCGGUGAAAGCCCGGGGCUCAACCCCGGAAGUGCCGUUGAUACUGCAUGGCUGGAAUGCGGUCGAGGCGGGCGGAACGGGGGGUGUAGCGGGGAAAUGCGUAGAUAUGCCACAGAACGCCGAUAGCGGAGGCAGCUCGCCAGGCCUGCAUUGACGCUCGGGCACGAAAGCGUGGGGAUCGAACAGGAUUAGAUCCCCUGGUAGUCCACGCCGUAAACGAUGGGCGCUCGUCGUCGGCGGCAGACAGUCGGCGGCCAAGCGAAAGCGAUAAGCGCCCCACCUGGGGAGUACGGUCGCAAGGCUGAAACUCAAAUGAAUUGACGGGG